UUUCUAAGUCCAGACUGCUUCCCCUCCACUAGCUGGGGAGGGAGAGGCCAUAUGAGUGGAGGGACCUGUGGAGGAAAAAUUAUUAUUACUACCUUGAUGUCCGCUGAACCAAAGUGGAUGGAAAUUUCUCAGGACAUAUUCAUCCAAACUACAAAAACAGGUCUACUUAAACUUUGAAAGAUGAGAUUGUUCAAAAAUGACACGAGAAAAUCACCCAUCACCACUAAGUUAAAGACUUGAAUAUGUGAGAGUUCCAGAGCCUCAAACUCCUACUACAGUCACUGAUCCAUAACAUUUUCCUCUUGCAAUGGACUCCACGCCAAAGUAGCUCAGUCUUGCGGCAUGUUUGUGCACCAAAAAGUAGGUUUCGAAAGAUCCAGCACUAGUCAUCACUGUCACUGCCAGACUCACUCAACUGCAAGUCAUUUCCUAUUUAAAAAAAAAAAUAAAGUAAAAUCAUAGAAUCAAA
rnacentral:lncRNA from 1 species